GAAAAGCACAGGUGUAUUCACAACCAUUAAUGAUGGCUGCAUUCCACUUAGGAGAGGCCCUGGUGUUGAGCACGCGGACUAAUGGAAAUAGCUCACUGGGACACUUGAUGGAACUGAGCCAUCGUUAAGGUUAUUAAUUUCAGCUGUCCUUUUCCUGCUAUGACAAGUCAAAAUGUCUGAUGUGAAAAAGGUUAAUUUUUGAACCCUGGCACUCUAACUUUAAAUG